AGAGUUUGAUCAUGGCUCAGAACGAACGCUGGCGGCGUGCUUAACACAUGCAAGUCGAACGGAAAGGCCCUUCGGGGUACUCGAGUGGCGAACGGGUGAGUAACACGUGGGUGAUCUGCCCUGCACUUUGGGAUAAGCCUGGGAAACUGGGUCUAAUACCGAAUAUGACCAUGCGCCUCCUGGUGUGUGGUGGAAAGCUUUUGCGGUGUGGGAUGGGCCCGCGGCCUAUCAGCUUGUUGGUGGGGUAAUGGCCUACCAAGGCGACGACGGGUAGCCGGCCUGAGAGGGUGACCGGCCACACUGGGACUGAGAUACGGCCCAGACUCCUACGGGAGGCAGCAGUGGGGAAUAUUGCACAAUGGGCGCAAGCCUGAUGCAGCGACGCCGCGUGAGGGAUGACAGCCUUCGGGUCGUAAACCUCUUUCAGCACAGACGAAGCGCAAGUGACGGUAUGUGCAGAAGAAGGACCGGCCAACUACGUGCCAGCAGCCGCGGUAAUACGUAGGGUCCGAGCGUUGUCCGGAAUUACUGGGCGUAAAGAGCUCGUAGGUGGUUUGUCGCGUUGUUCGUGAAAACUCACAGCUUAACUGUGGGCGUGCGGGCGAUACGGGCAGACUUGAGUACUGCAGGGGAGACUGGAAUUCCUGGUGUAGCGGUGGAAUGCGCAGAUAUCAGGAGGAACACCGGUGGCGAAGGCGGGUCUCUGGGCAGUAACUGACGCUGAGGAGCGAAAGCGUGGGGAGCGAACAGGAUUAGAUACCCUGGUAGUCC
rnacentral:rRNA from 1 species